rnacentral:rRNA from 1 species
GAUGAACGCUGGCGGCGUGCUUAACACAUGCAAGUCGAACGGAAAGGCCACAGCUUGCUGUGGUACUCGAGUGGCGAACGGGUGAGUAACACGUGGGUGAUCUGCCCUGUACUUCGGGAUAAGCUUGGGAAACUGGGUCUAAUACCGGAUAGGAAUCACAUGUGGGUGUGUGGUUGGAAAGCUUUUGCGGUAUGGGAUGAGCUCGCGGCCUAUCAGCUUGUUGGUGGGGUAAUGGCCUACCAAGGCGUCGACGGGUAGCCGGCCUGAGAGGGUGUACGGCCACAUUGGGACUGAGAUACGGCCCAAACUCCUACGGGAGGCAGCAGUGGGGAAUCUUCUGCAAUGGGCGCAAGCCUGACAGAGCGGCGUCAUGUGAAGGAAGAAGGCCUGAAAUAGGUUGUAAACUUCUUUUACUGAGUAAUGAAUAAUGACAACGCAGUAAAAAAGUAUCGGCUAACUCCGUGCCAGCCGCCGCAGUAAAAC